rnacentral:sRNA from 1 species
AUGGUUUGUGCUCAAAAUUGCCUGUCUGCCUUAUGUAGCACUCCUGGCCCUGACAUGUCCCAGAAACUGAAAUACAGACCAGGCCUUACCUGUCCCUUCAGGCCCCACUGGCCCAAGGUUUCUCAGUGGCCUCUGCUCUUUGCUCACAGGUUGAACAAGAAAGAGUUCAGCUUGGAAGAAAUUUACACCAACAAGAAUUACCAAUCACCCACAACCAGGAGGACCUUCGAGACCAUCUUUGAGGAACCCCGGGAGCGCAAUGGGACUCUGAUUUUCACCAGCUCAAGGAAGCUCCGGCGGGCUGUGGAAUUUCGGGACAGCAGCCUUCCUCGAUCACGGAGGCCGUCCCGUGGGGUCCGGGCUGCAGGGGGCAGGACUGUUCCUCCCAAUGUGGCCCCCAGCCCUGAUGUGGGCCCCCUGCUCCAGCAGCGGCUGGAGGAGCUAGAUGCCUUGCUCCUGGAGGAAGAAACAGUAGAUCGGGAGCAGCCCCACUGGACCUAGGUGCCCCAUCUGUUGGUCAUCCAUCCUGAAGGGACAGGAAACCUCCCAAGCAGUUAUUUUUUUUCUCUAUAUUUCUAGUAAAGUUUUCGAUAUGUUUCUGA